rnacentral:rRNA from 1 species
CAGGAUGAACGCUGGCGGCAUGCCUAAUACAUGCAAGUCGAACGAGGAAAGAUUUAUCUUCCUAGUGGCGAACGGGUGAGUAACACGUAGAUAACUCAUACUUAAGACGAGGAUAACAGUUGGAAACGACUGCUAAUACUGGAUAGGAUAUCUGAUCAUAUGAAUGGAUAUUUAAAGUUGCCUUCAAGCAAUACUUAGGAAGAGGUUUACGUCGCAUUAGCUAGUUGGUGAGGUAAAGGCUCACCAAGGCGACGAUGCGUAGCUGUGCUGAGAGGCAAAACAGCCACACUGGGACUGAGACACGGCCCAGACUCCUACGGGAGGCAGCAGUAGGGAAUUUUCGGCAAUGGGGGCAACCCUGACCGAGCAAUGCCGCGUGAAUGAUGAAGGUCUUCGGAUCGUAAAGUUCUGUUAUUGGGAAAGAAUAGCAUAAUCAGGAAAUGGGUUAUGUAUGACGGUACCCAAUGAGGAAGCCCCGGCUAACUAUGUGCCAGCAGCUGC